AGAGUUUGAUCCUGGCUCAGGAUGAACGCUGGCGGCGUGCUUAACACAUGCAAGUCGAACGAAGCACUUCAUAAAGUUUACUUUAAGAAGUGACUUAGUGGCGGACGGGUGAGUAACGCGUGGGUAACCUGCCUUACACAGGGGGAUAACAGUUAGAAAUGACUGCUAAUACCGCAUAAAACAGCAGAGUCGCAUGACUCAACUGUCAAAGAUUUAUCGGUGUAAGAUGGACCCGCGUCUGAUUAGCUUGUUGGUGGGGUAACGGCCUACCAAGGCAACGAUCAGUAGCCGGCCUGAGAGGGUGAACGGCCACAUUGGGACUGAGACACGGCCCAAACUCCUACGGGAGGCAGCAGUGGGGAAUAUUGGACAAUGGGCGAAAGCCUGAUCCAGCGACGCCGCGUGAGCGAUGAAGUAUUUCGGUAUGUAAAGCCCUAUCAGCAGGGAAGAAAACGACGGUACCUGACUAAGAAGCCCCGGCUAACUACGUGCCAGCAGCCGCGGUAAUACGUAGGGGGCAAGCGUUAUCCGGAUUUACUGGGUGUAAAGGGAGCGUAGACGGCAUCACAAGUCAGAAGUGAAAAUCCGGGGCUCAACCCCGGAACUGCUUUUGAAACUGUGGAGCUGGAGUGCAGGAGAGGUAAGCGGAAUUCCUAGUGUAGCGGUGAAAUGCGUAGAUAUUAGGAGGAACACCAGUGGCGAAGGCGGCUUACUGGACUGUAACUGACGUUGAGGCUCGAAAGCGUGGGGAGCAAACAGGAUUAGAUACCCUGUAGUCCACGCCGUAACGAUGAAUACUAGGUGUUGGUUUCAUAAGAAGCUCGGUGCCGGCGCAAACGCAUUAAGUAUUCCACCUGGGGAGUACGUUCGCAAGAAUGAAACUCAAAGGAAUUGACGGGGACCCGCACAAGCGGUGGAGCAUGUGGUUUAAUUCCGAAGCAACGCGAGAACCUUACCAGUCUGACAUCCCGUUGACCUGGUUUAUGUAUGUAACAACUUCUUCGGAGCAACGAGACAGUGUGCAUGGUUGUCGUCAGCUCGUGUCCGUGGAAUGUGGCUAAAUUCCCGCCACAGGCGCACCAUUGUCCUUAGUAGCAGCGUAGAAUGGCACUCUAGGGAGACUGCCGGGGAUAACUCGGAGGAAGGUGGGGACGACGUCAAAUCAUCAUGCCCCUUAUGACUUGGGCUACACACGUGCUACAAUGGCGUAAACAAAGGGAAGCAAACCUGUGAAGGCAAGCAAAUCCCAAAAAUAACGUCUCAGUUCGGAUUGUAGUCUGCAACUCGACUACAUGAAGCUGGAAUCGCUAGUAAUCGCAGAUCAGAAUGCUGCGGUGAAUACGUUCCCGGGUCUUGUACACACCGCCCGUC
rnacentral:rRNA from 1 species